rnacentral:rRNA from 1 species
UACGGAGGGAGCUAGCGUUGUUCGGAAUUACUGGGCGUAAAGGGCGCGUAGGCGGGAUGGCAAGUCGGUCGUGAAAGCCUUCGGCUCAACCGAAGAACGUCGGCCGAUACUGCCGUUCUUGAGGGAUGCAGAGGAGACUGGAAUUCCCGGUGUAGCGGUGAAAUGUGUAGAGAUCGGGAGGAACACCGGUGGCGAAGGCGGGUCUCUGGGCAUCUCCUGACGCUGAGGCGCGAAAGCGUGGGGAGCAAACGGG